rnacentral:rRNA from 1 species
AACGCUAGCUACAGGCUUAACACAUGCAAGUCGAGGGGCAGCGCAGUGUAGCAAUACAUGGGCGGCGACCGGCGCACGGGUGCGUAACACGUAUCCAACCUUCCCGUUACUCAGGGAUAGCCUUCCGAAAGGGAGAUUAAUACCUGAUGGUGUUGAAAUUCCGCAUGUUAUUUCAACUAAAGAUUUAUCGGUAACGGAUGGGGAUGCGUGACAUUAGAUAGUAGGCGGGGUAACGGCCCACCUAGUCUACGAUGUCUAGGGGUUCUGAGAGGAAGGUCCCCCACACUGGAACUGAGACACGGUCCAGACUCCUACGGGAGGCAGCAGUGAGGAAUAUUGGUCAAUGGUCGAGAGACUGAACCAGCCAAGUAGCGUGAAGGAUGACUGCCCUAUGGGUUGUAAACUUCUUUUGUUUGGGAAUAAAGUCAGGUACGUGUACCUGUUUGUAUGUACCAUUCGAAUAAGCAUCGGCUAAUUCCGUGCCAGCAGCCGCGGUAAUACGGAAGAUGCGAGCGUUAUCCGGAUUUAUUGGGUUUAAAGGGAGCGUAGACGGGAGAUUAAGUCAGCUGUGAAAGUUUGAGGCCCAACCUUAAAAUUGCAGUUGAUACUGGUUUCCUUGAGUGCGGUUGAGGUGUAUGGAAUUCGUGGUGUAGCGGUGAAAUGCUUAGAUAUCACGAAGAACUCCGAUUGCGAAGGCAGUACACUAAGCCGUAACUGACGUUGAGGCUCGAAAGUGUGGGUAUCAAACAGGAUUAGAUACCCUGGUAGUCCACACGGUAAACGAUGAAUACUCGCUGUUGGCGAUACACGGUCGGUGGCCUAGCGAAAGCGUUAAGUAUCCCACCUGGGGAGUACGCCGGCAACGGUGAAACUCAAAGGAAUUGACGGGGGCCCGCACAAGCGGAGGAACAUGUGGUUUAAUUCGAUGAUACGCGAGGAACCUUACCCAGGCUCGAACGGCAAGCUGAAUGUUACCAGAGAUGGUUUCAGUCUUCGGACAGUUUGUCGAGGUGCUGCAUGGUUGUCGUCAGCUCGUGCCGUGAGGUGUCGGCUUAAGUGC